GCUAUUUUGGCAGAUUAGUGCAAUAAAUUUAGAAUUUAGUUAUGUGAUUUUAAAAUUACAAAUAGUA
rnacentral:tRNA from 1 species